GACGAACCGUGCGAACGUUAUUCGGAAUCACUGGGCUUAAAGCGCGUGUAGGCGGGCCGGCACGUCGGUCGCUGAAAUCCCCCCGGCUCAACCGGGGAACGGGCGCCGAAACGACCGGCCUGGAGGGGGGUAGGGGGAGCCGGAACUCACGGUGGAGCGGUGAAAUGCGUAGAUAUCGCUUGGAACGCCGAAGGUGAAAACAGGCUGCUGGGGUUGCGCCGACGCUGAGACACGAAAGCCAGGGGAGCAAACGGG
rnacentral:rRNA from 1 species